rnacentral:rRNA from 1 species
UACGUAGGGUGCGAGCGUUGUCCGGAAUUAUUGGGCGUAAAGAGCUUGUAGGCGGUUUGUCGCGUCUGCUGUGAAAAUCCGGGGCUCAACCCCGGACUUGCAGUGGGUACGGGCAGACUAGAGUGCGGUAGGGGGAGAUUGGAAUUCCUGGUGUAGCGGUGGAAUGCGCAGAUAUCAGGAGGAACACCGAUGGCGAAGGCAGAUCUCUGGGCCGUAACUGACGCUGAGGAGCGAAAGCGUGGGGAGCGAACAGG